UACGUAGGGACCAAGCGUUGUUCGGAUUUACUGGGCGUAAAGGGCGCGUAGGUGGCGACCCAAGUCGAUGGUGAAAGCUCGCCGCUCAACGGCGAGUCGGCCACCGAUACUGGGUUGCUCGAGCACUGUAGAGGCUAAUGGAAUUCCGGGUGUAGCGGUGGAAUGGCGUAGAGAGUCCGGAAGAACACCGGUGGCGAAGGCGGUUAGCUGGGCAGUGCUGGACACUGAGGCGCGACAGCGUGGGGAG
rnacentral:rRNA from 1 species